rnacentral:lncRNA from 1 species
AACCUGCUGAGUUUCCUGCGUUUGUGCUGCGCUGCUGGCCUGUGCUGAGCCCCUUCUGCUCUGCCCUCCCCUCUGGAGCCGCUGGGUGGAUUCAUAACGACCCGAAUUCGGUGAUGCUGCCAUGUCACACCGCUAGCUGAGCUCUGCAGUGUGUCUCAGCCUCCUGCUGUGAGACCUGAGAAGGCAGCCAGUGUCACCUUAGCUGUUACAUCGGGAGAGGACAGCGCGGAGUACCAACCUCAGCUCCUGCUGUAAAACCAGUGUGGAAAAUCAGUGUUGGAGCCACCUCAGUAGUAUUGGCAACAGGUCACUCACAAGUGCUUCAGCAGCAUGCAGAGCUCUGAGAGGCUGUAGAACAUGAGCACAGAGACCAGAGCAAUGGAACAGGCUGGAAUACUAUUUUCCUUGGAUUUGCAAGGAAUAGACUUCUGCAGCUUUCAUAAAGAUAAGAGAUUCCUGGAAACAGACUUCUGCUGACUUUUGAUUAUUAUGAAACAGAGCAGUCCUGGAAAGAAACCGGGGUCUGAAAACACAUCAGGGCAAUGGGCAGCUCAAUAAAUACACUGUUGUUAUCUGUCAUUGUAGCCUUCACAAGCUCACUACUUGAGCUGUUGUAUACAUGGGAGGGGCUGCCAGACCUUUCCAGUGACAGCUUUCUGCAUUGUGAGAUGCUUUUACUUCUUGUGUCUUGAGGGUGUUCAGCUAAAGCAGGCUGGGAGUGACAUCAAGAUAGGCUCCUGCAUGGGUCUGUGAGGGGUCUGGAAGCAGUUUGUCUCAAGGAUUUUCCUCAUUUUGUUCUCUGCAAUGUACAGAAGAAUCAAGAAAAAACAAAAC